AAGGACAAGACCUCAGUAGCAGUUGGGCCAAAGUUUCCCAGUUGCCGGAGAACAAGGGAUGCCAGCCCAAUCCAGUGGCCAUUCCUCUGCCCAACAUAAAUACAAGUGGUAUAGUCCUCAUUACCCACCGCUGAGAGAACUAUGGGGGUUAAUGGGGCAAAUCACCAACCCAUCCCAAUAAUAAUACUGAGCACUUCUAUGGUGCUUUGCAUUUUCAAAGGGCUUUGAUUGCACUUGUGCUUACAGAGGAGACAGCCUGAGACCGCAGUGAGACUGUACUGAUUCCCACACUAAACCCGCAGGGCUGGUGGGCGUGGGAGCACUGUGAUCUGUAACAUGACCCCAUGAGUGUGUUCAUGCAAUUCCCCAUGAAUUGUGUGACCCUUCUAGCACCAAUUAUCAGGUGCAGCAACAGCAGAGUAGCCCCCUCAGCACAGCAGAAUACCCAGCAUGGCUGUUGGAGCUCUGGCUAGCUGCGUUACAAGGACAGAUUGUCACUUUGACUCCUCCUUGCUGGCUAUUUGUCUUGCCCUCUUCCUACUCUUGGGAAUGAGGAUAGCCACACCCAGAUCUGGCUAUAUCACCAUUUUAGGGAGGCAUGCUACUGCCACCAGCUACUCUAAUACAGGAAAGCUUUGGCCACAAGGAAACUGUAACAGGAAAAACAAAGUCACUGCCAUGACGAAAAUGGAGCAUCCUCAAGGAGAGGAGUCUGGUAUAUAAAUAACAGAGGCUGGGUAUUGCUUUAGAUCCAGGCCAUUUCCCAGGGAGCAUUCAGAGCUGCAUAGUAGCUAGACACAUACUAGUAGACACUGUUGGCCCCUGGGUGCACCAUGUAGCAUCCCAAGUACCAUCAAACGAAAAGCCAGGUGCCAAUGAGUCACAUUCUGUCCACUAUACUGCCUCAUAAACACUUUCCAGAGAAAGGGAUUAAAAGGAAAAGAAAGGUCUGAAAAGAGGAAGUGACUCAGCAGACUGGCAACUCCCGAGAGACUUAGGCAGCACAAAUAUAGUCCUAGCAAUCAGCUAAACCCGUGGAAAAAUCCAAGAAGUGAAUGACCACUGCUGAGCAAGGACUGCCCCCAGGACCCUGAUUUCAGAGCUGGUUUGCAGCAGUCUGUGGACAGAGUGGUGCAGGGAGUCUCCUAAGCCCAGAGAAUGUGUGUC